rnacentral:rRNA from 1 species
GUAGUGACGAAAAAUAACGAUGCAGAACUCAUUCCGAGGCUCUGCAAUUGGAAUGAGUACACUCUAAAUCAUUUAACGAGUAUCCAUUGGAGGACAAGUCUGGUGCCAGCACCCGCGGUAAUUCCAGCUCCAAUAGCGUAUAUUAAAGUUGUUGCGGUUAAAAAGCUCGUAGUUGGAUCUGUGUUCCACGCUGUCGGUUCACCGUCUUGUCGGUGUUUAACUGACAUGUCGUGAAACGUCCUGCCGGUUGGCGGCGUGUUUGCCCCAAAAGGGUGGAUGCGUCUGCCAGUCCCAAUCCUGUCGCGGUGCUCUUCACUGAGUGUCGAGGCGGGCCGGUACUUUUACCUUGAACAAAUUUGAGUGCUUAAAGCAGGCUACAACCGCCAGAAAACUGUGUGCAUGGAAUAAUAUAAUAGGACCGCGGUUCUAUUUUGUUGGUUUUCAGAGUCCGAGGUAAUGAUUAAUAGGGACAGGCGGGGGCAUUAGUAUUGCGACGUUAGAGGUGAAAUUCUUGGAUCGUCGCAAGACUAACCUAAGCGAAAGCAUUUGCCAAGGAUGCUUCCAUUAAUCAAGAACGAAAGUUAGAGGUUCGAAGGCGAUCAGAUACCGCCCUAGUUCUAACCAUAAACGAUGCCAGCCAGCGAUCCGUCGACGUUCCUCCGAUGACUCGACGGGCAGCUUCCGGGAAACUAAAGCAUUUGGGUUCCGGGGGAAGUAUGGUUGCAAAGCUGAAACUUAAAGGAAUUGACGGAAAGGCACCACCAGGAGUGGAGCCUGCGGCUUAAUUUGACUCAACACGGGAAAUCUCACCAGGCCAGAACACCAGGUGGAUUGACAGAUUGAGAGCUCUUUCUUGAUUUGGUGGGUGGUGGUGCAUGGCCU